AAUGAGUAAUUAAAGAUGGCGGAAGAUGGUGUUAGCUUAGAAGACGAAUUCUACAAGAAACUGUUGUUAGAAGAAGCCAAAAAGCUAGAAAAUGCACCUCCUGAUAGGCACGAAUUUGUACCAACUCCACAAUUUGUUAUGAAAUUGCUAAACAGUAAAGAAGAGAAAGUCUUUAUCAAUAUUUGUACUUCAGAGAAAAUCCCUCCAGCUAAAGAUAUAACGGAGGAAACUUUAGUUGAAGUUUUGGAAUCUGAGGACCCUACUCAAUAUCGUGUACCUAUGAGUCUUGGAGAACCUCAUGUCGAAGUUGAUAAUCGUGGCCAAGGUUGCACAGCAUAUGAUGUGGUUAUAAAUCCAACGUUUUACAACAAGAUUCAAAACAGUGAACUCUUCAAAAGCUUCUUCUUGACAAUUGUUUUUGAGGGACUUGAAAGUAAAUAUGAUAUGGAACUAGAAAGGAAAUGGACUGUACUGAAGAACAAAAAAUGCAUGGGAGUUCUUCAGCCUCAUUGCAUAAGGAGCAAAAGUAAACCAGUAAUAAUGGAAAUGGAAAGUGAAACAAAACCACGUACAAAACCAGCAGAACCUAAAAUGAUAGAGGUAGUACAGGACUCCAAAUCAAGGGCCUUGACUCCAAAGUAUAAUAUAAUAAGGGAGCCACCAGAUGGAAAACCAGAGUUUUUGGUCAUUGAGAUUAACCUCCCAGGAAUUGUGAAAGUCAACCAAGGACACUACUCUUGAUGUUGGUGAAGACAGAUUAGUCCUGAGAGUCAAUCCUGACAAGUACCAACUGGAUCUUGACUUACCUUUUGAUAUUGAUAAUGACACAUGUGGGGCACAGUAUAACAGGAAAACAAAGGUUCUUACUCUUACUCUACAUGUUCUCAGCAGCAGCUGACAGCAGAGUAAAUCAAUUUAUUAUCAUUAAUAAAUGUAUAAUUUAAAGUUGCUAUCUUUUCUUAUUCCAUCCUUAAAUUUUUUGUACCAUAAAUGUAUUUUAUGCUUAUAAUAUUAUUUAAAUUUAUGAAAAAUUAACAGUUUAGGGUACAGUGGUUCCUCAUAUCUGAGAGAGAUUAUGUUAUGACCCAGUAGCCUGUGCCAGGUGUUCAGUCAAUGAGUGGAGUGCAAAUGUGUGGCAGAAUGAUCACAUGGUGAGAGGUUCUUCGUUUUUUUUGUUUUGUUUUUUUAACAGAAAAUAUAUUUAAGUGAAAAAAGUAUUUUGUAUAAUUUUCAGUGUUUCUGUAAGUCAUCAUUUGUUUAUUAGAGAAACAUAACACCACCACUUAAACAUGCCUGCUGUGUGUAGCAUUGAUCCUAAUGUUUCAAGGUGUCGAGUGACUGUGUACACUUCUGCUAUGUAACAGAACUCCCUAACCCUUCACCAGUAACCCCAUAUCUAUUAUUAGUAUGUCCCCUCCAGGCUCUAUACAAUUUCAUGCAAAAUGCUUGGGAGAAUUUGGCUUUAUAUCAAGAUACCAGUCAACA